AUGAGAUUGAAAAAACUUCUGCAAGAGGAGGAAUUGAAGUGGGCAUUACGAGCUAAGGUUCGCAAAGUUGUCCAAGGGGACGCCAAUACUCAAUUCUUUCAUAUGAUCGCUAAUGGCAAGCAUAAAAAGGAAAGAAUUUUUCAGCUCGAGCAAGAAGAGGGGACGAUUUUAGGACAGGAAAACCUAAAAUUAUACAUAACCAAUUACUACAAGCAGCUAUUUGGGCCUCCAGAGGAUAAUUUCGUGUCCUUGGAUGAGUCUAGGAUUGGGGAUGUUCCUCAGCUUGCUGCGGAUGAGAACGAUGUAUUAACCGCCCCAUUUUCAAAGAAAGAGAUGUUUGAAGCUAUUUCACAGAUGAAGAAU
rnacentral:rRNA from 1 species